rfam:Bombyx mori DNA, contig: Bm_scaf4_contig4172, strain: p50T/Dazao, build 2, whole genome shotgun sequence.
UUAACUGAAAUUUGUAUGGAGUUGGAUCGUUUGCCUACGUUUGCCGCUAGGGGCGCUGUUCCAACUUUAUACAAAUUUGAGAUA